rnacentral:sRNA from 1 species
AUGUGUUAGUGAUUGAAGUGGCAUCCUUUUUUGAGGCACGAUAAAAAGAUAUAACGGAAAGCACGACCGCGC